rnacentral:siRNA from 1 species
UUGGUUAGAGUAUAGUGUGGUA